rnacentral:rRNA from 1 species
UGAGGAAUAUUGGUCAAUGGGCGAGAGCCUGAACCAGCCAAGUAGCGUGAAGGAUGACUGCCCUAUGGGUUGUAAACUUCUUUUAUAAAGGAAUAAAGUCGGGUAUGGAUACCCGUUUGUAUGUACUUUAUGAAUAAGGAUCGGCUAACUCCGUGCCAGCAGCCGCGGUAAUACGGAGGAUCCGAGCGUUAUCCGGAUUUAUUGGGUUUAAAGGGAGCGUAGAUGGAUGUUUAAGUCAGUUGUGAAAGUUUGCGGCUCAACCGUAAAAUUGCAGUUGAUACUGGAUAUCUUGAGUGCAGUUGAGGCAGGCGGAAUUCGUGGUGUAGCGGUGAAAUGCUUAGAUAUCACGAAGAACUCCGAUUGCGAAGGCAGCCUGCUAAGCUGCAACUGACAUUGAGGCUCGAAAGUGUGGGUAUCAAACAGGAUUAGAUACCCUGGUAGUCCACACGGUAAACGAUGAAUACUCGCUGUUUGCGAUAUACUGCAAGCGGCCAAGCGAAAGCGUUAAGUAUUCCACCUGGGGAGUACGCCGGCAACGGUGAAACUCAAAGGAAUUGACGGGGGCCCGCACAAGCGGAGGAACAUGUGGUUUAAUUCGAUGAUACGCGAGGAACCUUACCCGGGCUUAAAUUGCAGAUGAAUUACGGUGAAAGCCGUAAGCCGCAAGGCAUCUGUGAAGGUGCUGCAUGGUUGUCGUCAGCUCGUGCCGUGAGGUGUCGGCUUAAGUGCCAUAACGAGCGCAACCCUUGUUGUCAGUUACUAACAGGUUCCGCUGAGGACUCUGACAAGACUGCCAUCGUAAGAUGUGAGGAAGGUGGGGAUGACGUCAAAUCAGCACGGCCCUUACGUCCGGGGCUACACACGUGUUACAAUGGGGGGUACAGAGGGCCGCUACCACGCGAGUGGAUGCCAAUCCCCAAAACCUCUCUCAGUUCGGACUGGAGUCUGCAACCCGACUCCACGAAGCUGGAUUCGCUAGUAAUCGCGCAUCAGCCACGGCGCGGUGAAUACGUUCCC